UAUCAUGAUUAGGAGUGUCUGCUC
rnacentral:siRNA from 1 species